rnacentral:lncRNA from 1 species
AUAAAGAUUCAUAAUACUCAAAUUCCCAAAACCCAUAUAAACCCACCAAAAUAGAUAUUUGGAAAGCUUGAGGUUGAGAGUAGAAUCGCUCUACUCUCCUUUCCGUUAAUAAUCUCUCAAGAAUCGACUCUCCCCUCAUACCUUGAUUGGAGAAAAAUCAUACUUUGCUUGAGUUCUCCUUCUCUUACCCUCUACUUCCUUCUCUUUCUUUCUUUCUUUC